UACGUAGGGUGCAAGCGUUAAUCGGAAUUACUGGGCGUAAAGCGUGCGCAGGCGGUGAUGUAAGACAGUUGUGAAAUCCCCGGGCUCAACCUGGGAACUGCAUCUGUGACUGCAUCGCUGGAGUACGGUAGAGGGGAUGGAAUUCCGCGUGUAGCAGUGAAAUGCGUAGAUAUGCGGAGGAACACCGAUGGCGAAGGCAAUCCCCUGGACCUGUACUGACGCUCAUGCACGAAAGCGUGGGGAGCAAACGAGGAUACGAA
rnacentral:rRNA from 1 species